AGAACGAACGCUGGCGGCAGGCUUAACACAUGCAAGUCGAGCGCCCCGCAAGGGGAGCGGCAGACGGGUGAGUAACGCGUGGGAAUCUACCCAAUCCUUCGGAAUAGCUCCGGGAAACUGGAAUUAAUACCGAGUACGCCCUACGGGGGAAAGAUUUAUCGGGGUUGGAUGAGCCCGCGUUGGAUUAGCUAGUUGGUGGGGUAAUGGCCUACCAAGGCGACGAUCCAUAGCUGGUCUGAGAGGAUGAUCAGCCACACUGGGACUGAGACACGGCCCAGACUCCUACGGGAGGCAGCAGUGGGGAAUAUUGGACAAUGGGCGCAAGCCUGAUCCAGCCAUGCCGCGUGAGUGAUGAAGGCCCUAGGGUUGUAAAGCUCUUUCAGUGGGGAAGAUAAUGACGGUACCCACAGAAGAAGCCCCGACGGUAACUUCGUGCCAGCGAGCCGC
rnacentral:rRNA from 1 species